ACUCCUACGGGAGGCAGCAGUGGGGAAUAUUGGACAAUGGGCGCAAGCCUGAUCCAGCCAUGCCGCGUGAGUGAUGAAGGCCUUAGGGUUGUAAAGCUCUUUUGUCCGGGACGAUAAUGACGGUACCGGAAGAAUAAGCCCCGGCUAACUUCGUGCCAGCAGCCGCGGUAAU
rnacentral:rRNA from 1 species